UUUUUUGGUCCCAACUUGAUAUCAUGGUGUGCAAGAAAGCAAGCUACAGUCUCUAGAUCCAGUACAAAGGCUGAAUAUAAGGCACUGGCAAACGCAACAUCAGAGAUUAUCUGGCUACAAUCCAUUUUGAGGGAACUUGGUGUUAGAGGCACUCAACCUCCAUGUUUAUGGUGUGAUAAUCUAGGUGCUACCUAUCUCUCUGCUAAUCCAGUUUUUCAUGCCAGGACAAAGCACAUUGAGAUAGACUUUCACUUUGUGAGAGAAAGGGUUGCCAAGAAGCAACUUGAGAUUCGUUUUGUGCAUUCCAGAGAUCAAAUUGCAGAUGGGUUCACAAAACCUUUGCCCACAAGAAGCUUUGAAGAUUUCAAACAUAAUCUCAACUUGAUGAAGUUGUGA
rnacentral:rRNA from 1 species